rnacentral:rRNA from 1 species
AGCGACAGGCUUAACACAUGCAAGUCGAGGGGCAUCAGGGCUUUCGGGCCGCUGGCGACCGGCGCACGGGUGAGUAACACGUAUGCAACCUACCUAUAACCCGGGGACAGCCCGGAGAAAUCCGGAUUAAUACCCGAUAACACAGGGAUGCCGCAUGGCAAUAUUUGUUAAAGAUUCAUUGGUUAUAGAUGGGCAUGCGUUCCAUUAGGUAGUUGGUAGAGGUAACGGCUCACCAAGCCUGCGAUGGAUAGGGGAACUGAGAGGUUUAUCCCCCACACUGGUACUGAGACACGGACCAGACUCCUACGGGAGGCAGCAGUGAGGAAUAUUGGUCAAUGGGCGCAAGCCUGAACCAGCCAAAUCGCGUGAAGGACGACGGUAUUAUGUAUUGUAAACUUCUUUUUUAAGGGAAUAAAGUGGGGGACGUGUCCCCUUUUGUAUGUACCUUACGAAUAAGCAUCGGCUAACUCCGUGCCAG